ensembl:lncRNA
GGGGGUACCGCUACAGAGUUCAUGUGGAGACUAUGUACAGGGGGUACCGCUACAUAGUCCAUGUGGAGACUAUAUACAGGGGGGUACCGCUACAGAGUUCAUGUGGAGACUAUGUACAUGGGGGUACCGCUACAGAGUUCAUGUGGAGACUAUGUACAGGGGGGUACCGCUACAGACUCAAUGUGCGGGGGCACCAGUAAGUUGAGGUAAUAUGUGCAUGUAGGUAAUGUUAUUUUAACACUCUCUAUGUUCAAAAUCGGACGAUGGAGGGAAGAAGGGAAGUGGCCGUGCUGCAGAUCAUCUCUGAAAGCUGUGUGUGUGUGUGUGUGUGUGUGUG